AUGCACGGGAGUUUCUCGCCGGCAGCUCCCAGCCGAUCUGCACGCGGGUCUGCCCGCGGAGAGGCCGCCGCGCCCCUCCCACCGCCGGCAGUGGCCGCGAGGACGCGGACCUGUUCUGGCUUGCUCUCGGAUCCACACCCUCCCCGCAGAGGGAGGCUCGCGCAGCUCCUCUCUGCGGUGGUUCUGCCCACCCACCCCACACCCACGCCGCUUAUUCCCCCUCCCUUUCCUCGAUCCCUUGGGACAGCGAGAGUUACAGGCUUAAGACUUUUAUUUCACGGUGAAAAGCAAGGGACGAAGCCCAAACUUUGUUCGCCAUUUUCUACGUCUAUGGUUAAAAGAGAAAGACUGGAACCUGACACCAGAAGGCAGCCUUCAGCCUGAAUGGAUGUUUGCUGAAGAUACCUUCUGCUGCUGCUCUGAAAUCCUCUCUUGGCUCCCAUUCUCCGGUCUGACACUCUAUUCAGCACAUUUCUCACUCUACAAACAAUCCUUAUCUAUCAGCCGUCACACCUUUGCAUGUGGGUUCUGGAGAAAGACUGGAUACUUAUGUCACAUGAAAAUGUGAUUGCCUUAGCCUUGAAAGGUGUGAAUUUCUUGCUCACAAUUGAGGAAGAUCGUGGAAAAUAAAAUUUCAGCUAUCAAAUCACAAAUGCAAGGGAGAAAAGGAGUUCUUUCAUGAAUAGAAGCAGAAGGUGAGAGAGAUAUGCUGGUCAUCUGGAAAAAAAAGAGAAAGGAUAUUAAAAGCUGGGGUAUUUUUCAGCUUUUACUGCUGAUUUACUACCUACCCUCGGCCUGAACCAUCAUUUGGUAUCAUUCCCAGAGUAGGGCCAUUGAAGGAAUAUUGGCUCUUGGCAAAGGCUAGUAGCUAGUGAUAUGGCAUCAUUCCUAGAAAAAUUGUUUAGCAGAAGAGCUAUAGUUUUGGAAACGGCAUUUCAGUCUAGCAGUUCAGAAUAGUCACAGAUCGACAGAGGUUUUCCAGCCAACUGCUGUAAUAAAGGAAAGCAGGAUCUUUCCACUGAGGGAUAAACCCUCAAAGGCAACCUUGGAAGUACAAAGCAGCCACCUUCAGCUUAGAUAUUAAUAAAGCAAAAGAGGACCACAUUAACUCUGAGGAGUUAAAAUGACAGAGUUGAUACUCCUUUAACUUGUCCUUUAAUGUGAGAACAAAAGGACAUGUAUUAAAAAUCAAAGGGCAAUAAUUCUGGAACAAAUAAAAAGGUAAAAUCUUAUAUUUCACGCUGUGGAUCAUUAAUAUGUGUGAUUCACCCUCAGGAGGUCAUGGAACCAGAUACUUUCCCUGGAUUUUAAUAGGACUAAGGAAUUUUAUGGUCAUUAAUAACACUAUACUUAUAUAGCUAAAACAUUGCUUAUAUUUUGUCAAAUUUCAGGCUUCAAGGCAUUUGUUGAUUUCUUGUGGAGAUCAGAAAGAUUUCCUGUCCUCCAAUUAGAAACACCUAACUGUCAAUUAUGGCUGGCUUACUUUCAUAUUGGUGAUUCGUUCCAAAGUCCUAGGCAACCAAGUUUUAUUCACAUUUAUUGGGGGAAAAGCCUGAUAUUUGGGGAAGAUGAGAAUUUCAUCUGAAUCUGUACUCCAAACAAAGUAUAAAAUCUUUUCAAUCUGGUAAGGACCUCAGCUAACAUAUUCUCCUACAGCUUCUUUUUAUACUUGAGGUAGGUAAGGUUCAGAAAUUUUCUCCAGGUGGUACAACUAGUUAGUGGCCUAGAAAAUAUUUUUUUAAAUCUCCUCAUUUUUAAUCUUGUAUCAUUUUAGAACGUGACGAGCCACUGCCAUUCUGGAAGAUAAUUUAUUCCAAUUUUGCUACAGCAAACAAAAUGUAUGCUAAAUAGUGAGACAGUGAGUGAUGCACAAGAAUAAGGACUGAUCAUUACAGAAAACAUAGUUCAGCUGAAGUAAAGGACUUAGUUUAUCUUUUUCAUCUAUUCUGUCCUGUUGGUUUGGGCCAAUACAUCUUACUGCUGUCUGUAUAACGUAACCAUGUUAGAGAAAAAGGAGAGAACUAGUGGGUCUUCUUAAUAUAAGACAUUAUGUAUGGCAGGAGGUUUAUUCCCCUCUCUCCUCCUGUCUCACCCCUCAAAUCUGUUCUUGUUUUUUUUUUUUUAAUUCCUGGGCACAUGGCCACCUACUAAAAGACUGUAUUUCCCAGUUUCCCUCAUGACAAAGUGUAAACCGAAGACUAGAUUCUCACUAAAGGGACAUGAAGAGAAAUGUAGUUGGCAAUUUCCAGGUCAUCGACUUAAAAAUAAUCUAGAUUCUUUUAGCUCUUUUUCCUUCUAGCUAACCUGCAAUGGUUAAAGUCUUACAUUGAAGAUGACAAAAGAGCAUCUAGGAACCUGAGCUCCUGAUG
rnacentral:lncRNA from 1 species